GGAUUUUUGGCCCGUUUCUUUUUGCCUUCCCUUUUAGGGCCUGGGCUGCCUACUCUAUUUGGCUCUAGGGACAAGACCCAACCUUCUGAACAAGGUCAUAUGUCCACCCAUGUUGAGAAGAGCGACGCCUCUGGCUUCUCUCUCCAGGGAAGAAGGAGCAAGUUCACCUGGUUAUUGGAAAGUAAACAAUGGUUGGACCUUGUGGUUCUUCUCACUUCCUGUUGGGUGGGUUGUCUGCUGGAGGCCCCACGGCCGAUCGCGAUCUCCGGGAAACUUGUGCCCUUGGCCCAGCCAUCCUGUGUCUACUUGAAAAGCUCCGCCGUUGGAAGCAAGUUCGGCAGAGAAAGGUCUUUCUCCGCUCCACAGA
rnacentral:lncRNA from 1 species